GCCGGGACCAUCCGGCAAGGCUAAAUACUCCCGGGAGACCGAUAGUGAACCAGUACCGUGAGGGAAAGGUGAAAAGCACCCCGGACAGGGGAGUGAAAGAGUCCCUGAAACCGUAUGCCUACAAGCGGUCGGAGCAUGCUUUGCAUGUGACGGCGUGCCUUUUGCAUAAUGAUCCUACGAGUUACCGUCGUUGGCAAGGUUAAGCGCAAGGAUGCGCGCAGCCGUAGCGAAAGCGAGUCUGAAACGGGCGAGUGAGUCAGCGGAGGUAGACGCGAAACCAAGUGAUCUACCCUUGGGCAGGAUGAAGGUGAGGUAACACUCACUGGAGGUCCGAACGAAUAAGCGUUGAAAAGCUUCUCGAUGACCUGAGGGUAGGAGUGAAAGGCCAAUCAAACUUGGAGAUAGCUCGUACUCCCCGAAAAGCAUUUAGGUGCUGCCUCGGGCGUUCCUGUUGUGAGGUAGAGCGACUGAUUGGAUGCGAGGGCUUCACCGCCUAUCAAGUCCUGAUAAACUCCGAAUGCGCAACAGCCAAGCCCGGGAGUAAGGGCGCGGGUGCUAAGGUCCGUGCCCGAGAGGAGAAGAAUCCAGACCACCGGCUAAGGUCCCGAAAUCCUGUCUAAGUCAGUCUAACGAAGUGCGGUUCCUAUGACAGCUAGGAUGUUGGCUCGGAAGCAGCCAUUCAUUCAAAGAGUGCGUAACAGCUCACUAGUCGAGGAACUGCGCAUGGAUAAUAAUCGGGUGUGAAGUCAGGUACCGAAGCCGUGGGAUACUUUAUGUAUCGGUAGGGGAGCAUUCCUGUCAGCGUCGAAGGCGCACCGCGAGGUGCUCUGGAGCGUCAGGAAAAGCAAAUGUAGGAAUAAGUAACGAUAAAGGGGGUGCGAUGCCCCCUCGCCGAAAGACCAAGGUUUCCUCAGCAACGCUAAUCGGCUGAGGGUCAGUCGGGUCCUAAGGCUCAUCCGAACGGAGAGGCCGAUGGCAGAAACGUUUAAUAUUACGUUACUACCUCCCGCGCGACGUGGAGACGGAGCAGUGACACUUCCGCGAGCAGACGGAUGCUCGUUGAAGGGUGUAGGCGCAGANNCAUACUCCCGAGAAAAUCCGCUAAGCAUCAACGGCGAGGUACCCGUACCGUAAACGGACACACGUGGUCGGGUUGAAUAUACUAAGGCGCUUGGGUGAUUCACGGUUAAGGAACUAGGCAAACUGACCCCGUAACUUCGGGAUAAGGGGUCCUCGUGAUGAGCGAGGCGCAGAGAAUAGGUCCAGGCAACUGUUUACCAAAAACACAGGGCUGUGCAAACUCGAAAGAUGAUGUAUACAGCCUGACACCUGCCCGGUGCUGGAAGGUUAAGAGGAGAUGUCACCGCAAGGGAAGCAUUGAAUUGAAGCCCCAGUAAACGGCGGCCGUAACUAUAACGGUCCUAAGGUAGCGAAAUUCCUUGUCGGGUAAGUUCCGACC
rnacentral:rRNA from 1 species